GGAAUCAACGCUGGCGGCGUGCCUAACACAUGCAAGUCGAACGAGAAAGUGGAGCAAUCCAUGAGUAAAGUGGCGCACGGGUGAGUAACACGUGACUAACCUACCCUUGAGUGGGGGAUAACCUCGGGAAACCGGGGCUAAUACCGCAUAAUAUCGAGAGAUCAAAGGAGCAAUUCGCUUAAGGAGGGGGUCGCGGCUGAUUAGCUAGUUGGUAGGGUAAUGGCCUACCAAGGCUAUGAUCAGUA
rnacentral:rRNA from 1 species